rnacentral:miRNA from 1 species
CCUGUCAGUUAUGUAGGCCACU